rnacentral:rRNA from 1 species
CGUGAGGAACCUGCCUUUUCAGAGGGGGACAACAGUUGGAAACGACUGCUAAUACCGCUAUAACGCAUAGGUAUCGCAUGGUAUCUGUGCCAAAGAUUUAUCGCUGAGAGAUGGCCUCGCGUCUGAUUAGCUAGUUGGUGAGGUAACGGCCCACCAAGGCGACGAUCAGUAGCCGGACUGAGAGGUUGGCCGGCCACAUUGGGACUGAGAUACGGCCCAGACUCCUACGGAAGGCAGCAG